UCUAAGUGGGUGGUAAACUCCAUCUAAGGCUCCACGAGACCGAUAGCGAACAAGUAUCGUGAGGAAAAGUUGAAAAGAACUUUUAAGAGAGAGUUCAAGACUACGUGAAACCGGUCAGGGGUAAACCUGAGGAACCCGAAAGGUCGAAAGGGGAGAUUCAACGUGUCUCGGAGCUCGCGAGCGACGCACGGCAUGACGGGCGGCCCCGCUAUUAGCGGCGGACAGCCCGUUCCGCGCGCCGAACGAUCGGGCACCGAACGCGCGCACUUCUCCUCCUGUAGGACGUCGUGACCCGUUGGGCGCCGGCCUAAGGUCCGCGGAGGAGACCGUCCGGACCCGCGGUGUCCCGACCGGCCCGACCGACGGUAUAACUAAGGUGCGGGGCCGCGACAGGUUCGCGUCCGGUGCGUCGCAAGCGCGAACGGCGGACGGGGCGUCCGGGCCAGGUAUCGGAUCCCCGACCGUUCGGUUGUUGGCAGCGCGGUCCUCGGACAGACCCCGUACACGCCAGUC
rnacentral:rRNA from 1 species